rnacentral:rRNA from 1 species
UACGGAGGGUGCGAGCGUUGUCCGGAAUCACUGGGCGUAAAGGGCGCGUAGGCGGCGCGGGGAGUCAACGGUGAAAGCUCGGCGCUCAACGCCGAGUCGGCCGUCGAUACUCCCGUGCUCGAGCACUGUAGAGGCAGGUGGAAUUCCGGGUGUAGCGGUGGAAUGCGUAGAGAUCCGGAAGAACACCGGUGGCGAAGGCGGCCUGCUGGGCAGUAGCUGACGCUGAGGCGCGACAGCGUGGGUAGCAAACAGG